AGCUCGUUAUCCGGUUGAAUGGAGAAUGAAGAACAACUGUCCUGUUUUCUUGAUUCCUGUGUCAUAUUUCUAAUAUUUCCAGGUCAGUUAUUUGUAUUUUAUAUGGUCACAAAUGUUUAUAAGCUGAAAUGAAUCCCCGGUGAUGUGUUAUCGGUGAGCUAAUAGUGUGUUACGAUUGUUAACAUUGAAGUUUGACGGUACGUGACUGUUGUAGCAGAGAAAAUGGCGCCGACGCCGCAGCUCGUUGAUUUCUUUUUCGUAUGUUUCUUUCGGCUCCCGGGCAUUUGUGAGUUAUUUCUGUGUGUUAAAAGCGGUUGUGUGUAUGGACAUUGUUUUAAACAGAGUAAGCUAAUGUAAAUAUGUAGUUUGAGAUCAGCUACGGCUGCAGUCCUGUUUCAGUGGUGCGCACGUUAAGAUGAGACAAUGACACGGUUCUAGUUCAGCGGUUAUAGUACGAGGUAACCAUGUUUAACAAUUCAGUUUGUGUUUAGUGUAAAGAUGGUACUGUUUAACUGUAAGAUUGAUAUUAAAAGUGAACACUUAUAAAAUAUACAGCUAUGAUAAAGAUAUUUUUUAAUGAGAGAAAGAGGUGGUGUGUGUAAAGGAAGAGCACAUUCAUGGGAAAAGACAGAACAGGUGAAGUGAAAUUUAGAUAGUAAAGUUGAAUUGUUUAAUUUUGGAAAAGAUGUAAAGAAAAAGAGACAUUAAUGUGAAAACAGACAUUUGAUUUUAUCCAGAUGUGGAUGUAACCUGUGCUUUAAUGUAAAGCAGACAAAAUAGCAGAGAAUAAGUCAUGUUUGCAGUUAAAUUGUAAAUAAAUCGAUUAUCUGGUUAAAUGGAGAAUGAAGAACAGCUGUCCUGUUUUCUUGAUCCCUGUGCAAUAUUUCUUAUAUUUCCAGGUACUCCAACUAUUGGAUGAUCCAAAUGUCUAACAGUGGGGUCACUUAGGCGGGACCUGCUACACCAUCGUUAAAUAAAGAUUACUCCUCAGUGAGUGAUUUAUUUUUAACCUUUGACCCCUAUGCUCCUCUGCACACACGACUCAAAGUCCUAACCCGUGAUAGAUAAACUCACAGCAGGUUCAUGUGAUAUGAAGCAGCAAUAUUUUACUUUCUUUUUUUCUUAAAUUGUAAUUCAUUUACUAUGACACAGUUUUAACACUUUCCUUUAGAUCUCAGCCCUCAUAUAAGUCAGCUUAGAAAGUCCAGGACCCUUUAGUAUCUCUCUCUCUCUCAGUCUUUUACAUUGAAUUACUAGGGUUUGAAAAAUAGUUGAUAACAGACACAGUCAGAUCACAACUUAUCAAAUCAUGUCAACAGACAUGAAGAUACCAUGUAAACAGGUGCAUCAUGAAAACAGGAUAGUGUAAAAAAAACUUCAUCUUCUUCGUAAAAGAAGGAAUUACAAGGAUUACAAUAAUGAGAAGGUUAUUACACAAGUUUCUGGUAGCUGUGGUGCUGUGGGCAGGUACCAGGUCCUGCUGAAAGUAAACCUGGAUCUCCAUAAAGACUCUCAGCAAAUGAAGCCUGAAGGUCUCUAAAUGCUGGACUUCAGCUCCUUGGAUUCUGGGCCUUUCCGGUCUCUCUCCAGACUCUCAACAAUGACACCGUUGUUGUUACUCAUGGGUGUUUUUGUUUGCUCAGGCUCCGUCUAAAGAUGCAGUGAGAGACGUUUGUGUUCAGAGCCACAGAGGUCGGAGUCGACGGCUGACCGAGACCACAGCAGCUACACUCAGCAUCCCUGCGGCUCAGGCUGCCCAGGUAAAACACACAGACACUCACACCAUGGAUGGUGCUGUGAGAUACAGCUGAUAGUUUAUAGAAGUUGCACAAAAACACCAAAAAAUAUGUGGCCAAUAUUUAGUUCUGUUACUGUGAAGUGCACUGAGCCAAAGCACACAUAAAAACACAGUAAAAGUCUUCAUGUUGUUCUUUCAGCUGGUUGAGUCUCUCCAUGUUCUAUCUUAUUACAUCCCCUACUUAUCAGGUAGUGAGAAAAGAAAGAGAAUAGAAAGGAGAAAGCAAGACAGCGGUAAGUGGAGUAGAUAACGAAGUGUGGCAAACACUUCAACUAGGGUUAGGUGUUAGGCUGGCUGUUCUUGCAUCAAUAGUUAGGCUUGCGAGCGGAGUGGGAGAUGGUAGCCUGGAGUUCCCGCCCUGUUGGCUUGAUGUUACUGUGUCUUGACUCACCUGUACGCGACUGUCUUGCGAGGUUAGCCGGCAACGAGCUGACGGAGAGAAAGUGUACUUGUAAGGCACAACACUGAAAUUUCACCCAAUUAACUAUGACACUGGAAAUGUUCACAUGAAUAAACAUAACAUGACAAAUCCCCACUAUCUAGCUUAACAUGGCUAAUGACUUAAAGAACACACACACACACACACACACACACACACACACACACACACACACACACACACACACACACUAGCAUAAAUGGAAAAGGAAACAAUUGACAUUAUGUCACUUACUCAGUAGUUGAAAUAUCAAAUAUCAUGGAGGGAUGUCCAGCAGGUGCACAUAAAACUCACACAUCAUUCCACUACAGAGUCUUGUCUGUUUUUCCACUUGAAGGCGUAAAAAUAACAGUCUGACGAUGUAAAUGAUAUAAUGUACUGUACCUGAUAAAAUACACCAGUCCUUAGUGAGUUUACACUCCUGAGAAUUAUCUUUAAAUUGUCACAUUGUUAGCUCACACAGUCUCCCACAGAGUGAUAAACCUCUGCUAAUCUUUAGCCUCUCUGAAUGUCCUUUUUAUACCCAGUCACCUCACUAACUUCUAAAUUAACCUCAUUAGUCAAAAGGUUUUUCAUUCUUAUGUUGUCUUUGCACCAUUAUUAUCAGAAUACUAAGUUUAGAUCAUUUGAAAAACAUCAAAUUCAGUUUUAUAUCAAUGUUUUAUUUUUGAAAUCAGGGUUUGAGUUUAAUGGUGAUUUUUUUUAUUUUAAACAGAACAAAAAUAUGCAUUAAAGCUUUACACCUGCAAAGACUUGAUAUAAAGUCAAGAAUCUUAUAAAUCAAAUCACUUUGUCCUGCUCCUUCAUACUCCUGUACAUAAAUUACAGAAUGAAAAAUGUUGGCAAACAAAUACAGGCUCUAUCAACAUAGAAGGUGAAAACUUUAUAAGACACAACAAGACAGUGAAAAACUCUCAAAACGUCUUGUCUUGGUGAAAUUUUUAAAAGAUUUCUGGCAGUUUCAUAUUUAACAUGUGAGAACAAGAAGAGUGAAAAAAUAAAAGCAGAUUGGAAAUGGACUUUGGCCGAAAAAACUCUAUGCUUUAUAUCUUUAUGAAGCCAGGUUCAGUGUUUCUUCUGUUUUUGUUACAUUGGAACAUUAUUCUAAUCACAGCUGUGUAAAGGCUGUUAUAUUUCUGCAUGUUGAUAUUGUUAUUAUUAGGCACAAUUUUCAGUGCUUAUUGAUUUACUGAAAAUGAAAAAAAAAAGUUUAAAUUUUAAGAUGAUGAUUCUAAUUUUGGAUGAUAUGUCCAGCGGUGAAAUUCGCUAAAUCUGUUACACAAGCUCAGUUGUCAUCACUCUAAUUCACUUUGUGGCAACAUGUCAAGCUGGUUUGGCUGACGCGCACGUCUCUGUUGGUUAAACGGCGCUGUUAAUGCUGCUGUUCAUCACCGUGUUGUGCCUCCUGCCAAUAAAAGCAGUAAGUGAAGACUGCGCAAGAUCUUUUCUACGCUGCUUACUCCUCCCUCUGACUAUUUUUCUGGCAGCUUUGAACAUCAAGGUAAGCAUGAUGGUAAAACUCUUUUGAACCAAUGUUAUUUUUUCCUGUAGAAGUCGUGCUAGAUAAUGUUUGGUGUCUCAAGAAGCAUUAUUUUACAUAAGCACAAGUGAUCAGCAGCAUAAUCAUUUAGGAACAUCAAUGUCUGCUGCAAUAUGCUGCACGUGGCUAAUUUGCAUAUUUGCCUUGCGGAAAAACAUUGCAGAAAGAUUAGAAGUCUAGCUAGCAAGCCAGCUUUUUUGUCUGAUCAUAAACCAUUUGUUAGCCAUGGAUUUAACUGACAGAAAUGUGUGCUGACUUGAAGGUAACAUGACUCAAAGUCCUAACCCGUGAUAAAUAAACUCACAGGAGGUUCAUGUGAUAUGAAGCAGCAAUAUUUUGCUUUUGUUUAUUGUAACAUCAUAAAUCUAUCAGCAUCCAAACAGUCCUCUUCUCAUUUGUCAACUGAAUAUGAUGUCGCUUAAGGUUGUCAUGAAAUUUAAUGUUUGUAUCUGCUGUUUUUUUUUCAGUGCUACAUGGAGAACAGAAUCUUUCAGUAACCAAAGUAAGUCUGACUUAGAUACAGAGUUUUAUCUUUGUUUUGUUGUGUUGGUGUCUCUGUGUGUGUUAGAAUUAGGGUUGCAAAGGGGCGGAAAAAUUUCCAGAAACUUUCCAUGGGAAGUUAAGCUGAAGAAUUUUGGAAAUUGGAAACUUUUCAUGGGAAUUAAAGGUGGGGUAGGCAGGAUUCUGUUAAAGAAGAAUCUUUUUUGUAGUUUAUAAAAAAAAGGCUUUUAAUAUCAGCCAAUAGUUAUUAGUUAUUGAUGACAUUUUAGAAUAUAACAAUAUCGCUGUGUUCUCUUAUGUCUGUGUAAUCAAAAUUUAAAAAUUUUUGAUCGGGCUACUCUUUCUGACUGUAAACAAAGCCAUUCGCUGUCUCCCCAACCUGAUUGGUCGUGAGGUGGACGCUUCUCCCACGUGUUGUGAGGCACGCUCCACGUCCUCCAAUAACGUUAACAAGCCUAAACAAAGAUAGUGUGCUACAAUAUCGGACAGUAGAAACCAACCAGAGAGUUCGGAAAAUUGUCUGAAUCCUCCUUUGGCCACGACUGCCGACACAAGCAAGAAAACAAAGUAAAUACCGGAGACUCUGGAGGAAUAACGGGCGCUUAUAACGGUGGUAGACUGGACAAGAGCUAAAAAGCCGGGUCAACAUAAACGAUGGGGGACGCUUGGGGAUCUUGGUGACCCUGUAACCUUUCUGCUGGACAGGUAAACCGCUUUAACAAAGUAAGACAAGUGUCUGUAACAGAAGUGUUUCUUGUCAAACGGACCUGCUGUAGCGUGUUGUAGCGCCAUCGCUAAACUGUCCUCCCUCGGGUCCUGGACUAUGUCACUUUAUCCUCGUUGUAGAAGUCCUGCAAACAUUGUGUUUGCUGGUAGUCUGUUGGCAUCUACAGUAGCACCAAUGCUUUUGACUUUCACCUUGACUGGGCCCCAUUUGUAAUGAUCUGAAGUAUUUAUCUGCAUUAUAUCUGAAUUAAAUUGGAACGAUACGAGCGAGCAGGAGCGUCUGUUUGUGGGCGGGGAUUUUCAUUCAAGAUUUCUCUCAAGAACUGGAACUUGCUCAGAUCCUGCCUACCCCACCUUUAAUUGGAAAUUGUGGGUAAUUUAAACAAACUGUUUCAUAUCCAAACAUAAAUGUAAAUAUUUUUAUUUUGUCAUCAGCAGACAUACAUACAAAAUAAUACAAUAAAAAAAUGACAUUUUAACAGAUUUAUUUGAGAAGAACUUUAGUUUUAAUUCUUGUAGGAACAAUCAAUUAUUUUAAUGAACAACAAAAACAUGAAAAAAAAAAGUCCCAUUCAAAAUGUUAAAUGAAGAAGCCCCCCUCCUUCCAAAAAGUUGGCUAAACAACUGGAAUGGUUUUCCAAAUAUUUGACAAUUUAUGUAUAAAUUAUUGUAUGGUCCUGCGCUAGCUUCAAAUAGGAUUCACCAUGUCGGAUUGUCAGUGACUAGCGGCAGUAAACACCAGCUCUGCUAGCGAGCGCCGUCUGCAGCUGCCUGGACAGCUACCAUGUUGACAUGUCAGAGACUAAUCAGAGUUAUUUAUGUAACAUGAGCCACGAUGAAAGGCGAUAAAAAUGACCUGUUCAACAAAAACUCUGCUGUCUCUGUGUCUGUUUUAAGGACUAAAUCCUGGCGGAGCUUUCUCCACCGCUCCAAGGAUGACCCGGUGUUUAUUCCAGUUAGAUUCCUCGCUUGGUCACAUUUCCUCUUUGACUCCGCCCUUUCGUCUGUCGGCGUUUUCUUCCCACUUUUGGUGGUGGGGCGAGCAGAAGUGUUUUUUUUUUCUUUUUUGCGUCCUUCUCCAUCACAGCUCCUGUAGCUAAGUUGCUACGCUACUUUUAGCCGCUCAGAGCUCUGAGGAGGGCCGGGAGAGUGGGAGGGGACGAGUCGGAACUACGGGAGAGGGGUGUGUCGAAUACAGCGAGAUGAUUGGAUGGAGAGGUGGACCAGGAGAUUGACCAAUAGGAGCUGUCUGGGACGGAUGGCUGCCAUUGGUGUUGGCAGGAUAGUCAGUCAGUAUGGAGAGCAAAAACAGGCAGAACACAGUCCACUGUAAUGGCAUCACAGGUUAUAAUCUUGUUUGUGUUUCAGGGUUACGGUGGAGUUGAGCUGAUAGUCUCUGGACUCCAUACUGAACAGACGGGGACGCAUCAGAGACCAGCUGUCUGUGGUUGCUGGGAAAUGAGGACAGCUGAUUGGCUUGUUUGUGCGAUGACAUCACAGCUGUCUGAGGACAUUUUGAUCGGACUGAUGCUGAAAUGUUUGAACGGAAGCUGCCAGAACUUUUCUCUGUGUUUGAGUCAUUUCAUCACCGUGCUGCAGAUUCACUCGUCAGUCAGCAAUGGAGAUUUGUCGGAUCAAUUAGCACUCUACCUGCCAACAUAAUUACAGGAAAACAAAAUCAUGAAUAAACGAAGUAAACAUUUGAUACAUUGUACUUUGCAUUUCAUUGUCAUCUUUAUUUUUGUUCUUUAAGCUGUGGAUAUUCAGACCCCUGGACUGAUUAUCAUCUUCACCUGUUUCAUGGAUGUCGGUCAGUUUAAUUCUGUGAAUAUCUAACCUGAGGUGCUCCAUAUCAGCCUCAUUCUCUGGACCAAGAUGUUUGUGAAUCAUUUCUUUCUCACAUGCACCAAAAUAAACGUCUUUUCUAACUCUC